AGUCUUAUAUUCAUUUAAUGAUUUUAAAUUGCAAAUUUAAAGGAGGGUUAAGCCCUAAGGCUU
rnacentral:tRNA from 1 species